rnacentral:rRNA from 1 species
AUUGAACGCUGGCGGCAUGCCUUACACAUGCAAGUCGAACGGCAGCAUGGGUGCUUGCACCUGAUGGCGAGUGGCGAACGGGUGAGUAAUGCAUCGGAACGUACCCGGAAGUGGGGGAUAACGUAGCGAAAGUUACGCUAAUACCGCAUAUUCUGUGAGCAGGAAAGAGGGGGAUCUUCGGACCUCUCGCUUUCGGAGCGGCCGAUGUCGGAUUAGCGAGUUGGUGAGGUAAAGGCUCACCAAGGCGACGAUCCGUAGCGGGUCUGAGAGGAUGAUCCGGCACGCGGGGACUGAGACACGGCCCAGACUCCUACGGGAGGCAGCAGUGGGGAAUUUUGGACAAUGGGGGCAACCCUGAUCCAGCCAUGCCGCGUGAGUGAAGAAGGCCUUCGGGUUGUAAAGCUCUUUUGUCAGGGAAGAAAUGGCCUGGGUUAAUACCUUGGGCAGAUGACGGUACCUGGAGAAUAAGCACCGGCUAACUACGUGCCAGCCGCCGCCGUAAUAC